rnacentral:rRNA from 1 species
GAGCACGUAGGUGGGUUUGUAAGUCAGACGUGAAAGCCUCCUGUUCAACGGGAGAAUUGCAUCUGAAACUGCAGAUCUUGAGUAUAGGAGGGGAGAAUGGAACUUCUGGUGGAGCGGUGAAAUGCGUAGAUAUCAGAGGGAACGCCGGCGGCGAAAGCGAUUCUCUGGCCUAUUACUGACACUCAGUGUGCGAAAGCUAGGGGAGCAAACGGGAUUAGAUACCCCGGUAGUCCUAGCCGUAAACGAUGGGCACUAAGUAGAGGGAAUUACCGAUAUUCUCUCUGCCGUAGCUAACGCAUUAAGUACCCCGCCUGGGGAGUACGGCCGCAAGGCUAAAACUCAAAAGAAUUGACGGGGGCUCGCACAAGCGGUGGAGCAUGUGGCUUAAUUCGAUGCAACGCGAAAAACCUUACCGGGGCUUGACAUGAUAGAAGUAGGAACCCGAAAGGGUAACGAACGGUAUCCAGUCCGUAGCUAUUACAGGUGUUGCAUGGCUGUCGUCAGCUCGUGUCGUGAGACGUUGGGUUAAGUCCCCUAACGAGCGAAACCCUUGUUUUUAGUUGCCAGCGGGUUAUGCCGGGCACUCUAGAAAGACUGCCGUCGUCAAGACGGAGGAAGGUGGGGAUGACGUCAAGUCAUCAUGGCCCUUAUGCCCCGGGCUGCACACGUGCUACAAUGGUCGGUACAAACGGAAGCGAAGCCGAGAGGUGAAGCGAAUCC